AUUGAACGCUGGCGGCAGGCCUAACACAUGCAAGUCGAGCGGAGCGGCGGACGGGUGAGUAUUGCUUAGGCAUGUGCCUGGUAGUGGUGGAUAACGUCCGGUAACGGGAGCUGAUACCGCAUACUAUCAGAUGAGCCUAGGUCGGAUUAGCUAGUUGGUGGGGUAAAGGCAUACCAAGGCGACGAUCCGUAACUGGUCUGAGAGGAUGAUCAGUCACACUGGAACUGAGACACGGUCCAGACUCCUACGGGAGGCAGCAGUGGGGAAUAUUGGACAAUGGGCGAAAGCCUGAUCCAGCCAUGCCGCGUGUGUGAAGAAGGUCUUCGGAUUGUAAAGUACUUUAAGUUGGGAGGCGUUACCAACAGAAUAAGCACCGGCUAACUUCGUGCCAGCAGCCGCGGUAAUUC
rnacentral:rRNA from 1 species